rnacentral:rRNA from 1 species
UACGAAGGGUGCAAACGUUGCUCGGAAUUAUUGGGCGUAAAGCGCACGUAGGCGGUUCGUCGCGUCGGCUGUGAAAACCUGAGGCUCAACCUCAGGCCUGCAGUCGAUACGGGCGGACUUGAGUACUGCAGGGGAGACUGGAAUUCCUGGUGUAGCGGUGAAAUGCGCAGAUAUCAGGAGGAACACCGGUGGCGAAGGCGGGUCUCUGGGCCGAUACUGACGCUGAGGAGCGAAAGCGUGGGGAGCGAACAGGAUUAGA